ensembl:lncRNA
CGGGACUGCGCAUGCGCAGGCGCGCGGCGGCGCUUCCUGGGAACUCGGGCUCGGCGGAACCCGGGCAGCGGUGACUCAGCGCCUGAGGCGAGGAGGGCAGCGGGGUUCCCUCCCCGCGAAGCCGAAGAGCUUCACUUCUCGGCCCUCGCCGCCCCCAAAGUUGAGGCCGCCCCGGGGCCGGGCUACGGUGCAAGCUCGCCGCCUCAGCCGGCUCCGUGCGCUGCCCGAUCGUUGGAAGCCCUGAGGAGCUCGGAAGUUUUUCAUUUGGGGCGGGGAAAGGUCUUGAACUUGCUCAGAGUUGUGGGGUGAAGCCACAGCUUUCUGGAGGCAUUUGGGGAACGUGAAGAACGUCAGAGACAAAUUGGUGCUGGCAGCUACUGUGUUGUGGUUUUUCACCUGCGGUCAGUCCUCAGAUAAGGAAACUGACUAGUGAAUCAGCAAGAGGAAUGGAGGUGUGGACAACUGAGCUGACGUUUGCCUCUCUGGGAUCUUGUGUAUGAUAGUUCCUCUGUGGAUGUUUGUGGGGUGAAAGAAUGAAAGAGGAGCAUAUAAGAAGCCGGAUUCUUUGGAGAAUUGCCCUGGAGAUCCAUAACUGUGCCUCAUUUCUGCAGUACAGGGGGAUGCCUGUCAGUGUCUCCCCUGCCGCUUGGUGAUAAGCCAGAUUAUUCAGGUUAAAAGAGUAGGUAUAUAGAUCUGAAAAAACAAAAAAACCUUGUACAUUUUGCCUUUCCUAUAGAGGAUAGUGUUGGAGUUAAAAGCAUUUCUUUUUCUGCAGCCAUCUUUCCCUGUCCCCUGAUUUCUGGUUCCCCCCCCAGUCUGGGCAGGAGCCCAGGUGCUGCCUCUCAUCCCUGCUUAACUCCUACACUCCACCCACAAGCUCGAUUCUGCUAAUUGCAUCGCUGUGCCACUCCUGGAACACAGUGUUGUUGGGGGACAAACCAAAGACCAAUGUGAUGGGGAGUAUUUUUCCAGCACCCGUAAAGUGGCCUGCCGUGGAGCAGAACCUCAACUCAGAAGCUUUGGGUUCUUUCCUCCAGGCACCUCUUCCUUCACCACCACCACCACCCACUUCAGAAUCCUCUUUUAUUGGCCUCUUCCUUCCUCAAGGGUCCCCCAAAGUCUUUCAUUUGUUGUUCAUCGUCCCAGCACCUCAGAUGUGGAGAUGGAACCUGACAUUCAGUGAUCACGUGCCAUGUGCCUGAUGCUGCCAGAUGCUCCUAGCCACGAUCGCAUUUCAUUUCUUCGUGAUCCACUCAGUAGAAAGUACCAGGGAGGGACCUUGCAGAAAAGCAAGAUUCUAGUUAGGUAACGUGUUCAAGAUCACACAGCUCUUUUUUUAAUUUUUUUUAUUGUGGUAAAAGUCACAUAAAACACUGUUUUAACCAUAUUUAACUGUACAAUUCAAUGACAUAAGUAUAUUCACAUUGUUGUGCAGCUCUUACCAUCAGCCCUCUCCCGAAGUUUUCACCUUCCUAAACUGAAACUCUGUCCCCAUUAAACACUAACUCUCCAUCCCCCACUGCCGCCCCUGGGCAUGGCAUCUACCAGUGUACUUUCUGACUCUGAAUUUGACUAUUCAAUGUAUCUUGUACAAG